UUUUUGCUGUGAUGAACCACAAGGACGGUAUCUGAGUAAGGUGGCUGUUGAAAAGGCUCUCCUUCCUUGAUUAUACAUCCUAAACUGAUCUAAAUUUCUGAGCAAACA
rfam:Triticum aestivum genome assembly, contig: Triticum_aestivum_CS42_TGACv1_scaffold_543100_6DS